AUUCCAUUGAUGCAGAAUAGUUUAUUUUCAUGGAUAUGUUAAAAAAAGCUGAAGAAACAAAGGGUAUAAUUCACAAAACUGAAGGAGGACCCACACUCUUACCCAGAAUCAGGGCUGCCAUUCAUGCCAGUCAUGUGUUACUGACCUGCAGAAUCUCUGGUAGGAGCCAGUACCGUUUCUCCCAGGGCAGUGCCUAAUCUCAGGAACUUUCCUGCUCUCUCUGGCUGACACUGCUGCACUCGGUACAGAACACAGAACGUGCAGGAAACUCGACUGAAGAUGUAACACCAAGGUUAAAAAAGAAAAGAGACCAAUAAAGAGUUAAGGUUUUAAGGGUAAAAAAAUUGAGAAUGGAUCUCCUUGGAGAGGAAGGAGAGAGAAUGGUACAUCUAAAGGACGCAAUCUAUCAU